rnacentral:lncRNA from 1 species
GCCUUUUAUUUAUAUGAGAUUUUGUAUCUGCGAAUAAAAAGAGGAGAGGGAAGUAAAAAAAACAAAAAAAUCGGAAAAAGUUUGAAAAAGAAAAUUAUCUUUAUUAUUUUUUUUUGUUUUUUUUUUUUGCGUUGAAUUGGGAUGGCACAGGUUCAGGUGCAGCAGCAGCAGCCACAGGGUGGUGUGAAUAAUGCUGGUGGUGU